rnacentral:snoRNA from 1 species
UGAUUCUGAUUUGCGCCGAGGCUGAAAAGCUCGGGAGAUUUUGUGUUGUCAUGGACUUCAUCUCUUUGCAAUGGUGAGAUGGGAGUUAAGUAACAGCAAAAGAUUC